AACGCACCUUGCGCUCCUUGGUAUUCCGAGGAGCAUGCCUGUUUGAGUGUCAUUAAAUCAUCAAUUCUCAACUUCUGUAAUGGUCGUUGUUGAAUUGGACUUGGGGACUUGCUGGUUCUAAUGCUGAAUUGGCUUCCCUCAAAUGCAUUAGCUGAAGUCUUACAAGCAGCGUAUAUGCGGUGUGAUAAUAUCUUAACUGUAUUGCUCUUGUUGAAAUCAGCUUCUAAGUGGUCCUUCAAUUGGACAACGCUUUGACAAUUUGACCUCAAAUCAGGUAGGACUACCCGCUGAACUUAA
rnacentral:misc_RNA from 1 species